rnacentral:rRNA from 1 species
GACGAACGCUGGCGGCGUGCUUAACACAUGCCAGUCGAACGGAAAGGCCCUGCUUUUGUGGGGUGCUCGAGUGGCGAACGGGUGAGUAACACGUGAGUAACCUGCCCUUGACUUUGGGAUAACUUCAGGAAACUGGGGCUAAUACCGGAUAUGAGCUCCUGCUGCCUGGUGGGGGUUGGAAAGUUUCGGCGGUUGGGGAUGGACUCGCGGCUUAUCAGCUUGUUGGUGGGGUAGUGGCUUACCAAGGCUUUGACGGGUAGGCGGCCUGAGAGGGUGACCGGGCACCUUGGGACUGAGAUACGGCCCAGACUGCUACGGGAGGCAAGAGUGGGGAAUAUUGCACAAUGGGCGGGAGCCUGAUGCAGAAACGCCGCGUGCGGGAUGACGGGCUUCGGGUUGUAAACCGCUUUCGCCUGUGACGAAGCGUGAGUGAGGGUAAUGGGUAAAGAAGCACCGGCUAACUACGUG